GAUGGUCAUAGUCCUAGGAUUUUACAAAACUUGAAAAACAACAAAAAAGAAUUCUCUUAGUUUUAUUUCUUAACUUUGCUAUCAUAGUUUUAAAUAAGACAUAGAAACAACCCAAUUUUUUGGAAAUAUAAAUUAAGAUAGUCAAACUCACACACUACAAUAUAUACUCCUAACUCCCAUAUAUAGCUCCCUGUAGAAAUCGAUCCCGACUCUUGUUGGGUACUAUUAUUGCAAUUGGCCAUUUCAUAACCUUGAUUUGAGGUAUGAAAUUGGACGAGAUCAUUAUGCCACUCCAUCAGUUAUAGGAGACAAAUUCCAGCCCAGGACACUAGCAUGUGCCAUGAUGGGGUAAUUAACAAUCCAAAAGAGGUACCCGUUAUUUGAUCUUACUAACAAAACUUUCUUUGUUAGCAGGAUUAUCACCUUUAGAGAAAAUGUCUUUCCCUUCAAGUCCACAAGUGUUGACAGAAUUCCCUUAUUUGCUCCUAGUCAAUACGCACUUGAUGAAGAUGUUACUCUGCCAAUUGUUUCUCAGAAUGGUGAAUCAACUGUUGCUGAAGGGAAUAUUGAACCAGAUGAUGCUGGAGGUCCAGAUAAUAUUCAGGGAAGCUGCACACUAUGACAAUGACAGUAAUAGAGAAUCACCACCUCUCUACCAAGAAGAUGACAUGGCAGACAUGCCAUAGAAUCAUCACAUCUCUACCAGAAAAAAAAAACAAAAGAAAUUUCAAUUGACAACAAUAAAAAAUAUUUUAAAAAAGGACUUGUGUUGGAUUGGCACUACAAAUCUAAUCCAAAUAAAAAUAGAUACAAAAAAGUAUAGAUGGGAGAAUAAAUUAAGUGGAAAACAAAACUACAAUUUAUUUAGAUUUAUUUAAUCCAGAAUAGAUUCAAUCAAGUUAAGUGAGAUAAGCAAACUUGAUUUCUUUUUUAGUUUUAGUAGAGUUCCAAUGAAAAAUGAAAAACCACCCAAUUGAAAUAAAUGCCCGAAUUUUAUAUUUCGAGGAUCAAUAAAAUAAGAAGUUUUGUCGUUAUAGAACACAGAAUUCAAUGGAAGCAAUGAUAAAAAAAAUACAAAUAGAAAAGGAAAGGGAGGAAAUACAAAAAAAUAGAAGAGAAAAGUCAUACAAAGUUAUAUACAAAUGACUACCCCCUUUUUUGUAUUUUCUUAAUUUAUUUCCUUAAUUGAAUUUCGGUUGAUUAGGACGGAGUUCCUUAAAAACCUCCGCCUUCUUUAAAAUAUCUUUUAAAAUAUCCUGAACAGUUCCUGUAGGUUGAGCCCCUUUUUCAAGGAAAUAUAAAAUAGCAGGAACAUUUAAAUAAGUUUGAUUCUUUAUCGGAUCAUAAAAAUCCACUUUUCGAAUAUCUUUUCCUUCUCUUCGGGAUCGAACAUCAAUUGCAACGAUUCGAUAGACGACUCAUUGGGAUAGAUGUAGAUGAAUGGCAGACAUGCCAUAUGCAGAACCUGCUAUUGGAGAAGCAACUGAACAUGUUGAUUAUGCAAUAGAGAUUGUAAAUGGAGACAUAAGUUGUGAAACUGGAGUUGAAGUUGCACAUCCUUGGCCAAAUCACAAUGCUCAAGAUUGAGACUAUUCUCUGAGAAGGUCUUCUAGGGACAAGGCUCCAUCACUUUGGCUAAAAGAUUAUGUAGCUACACAAGCUUCUAGUUCAUGUGUUUACUCAUUAGAAAAAUAUCUGAGCUAUGGAGGACUGUCAUCCAAAUACCAAUCACAUAUAGCAGCCUACUCAAUACGUGUUGAACCUACUUCUUUCAAUGAGGCAUCACAGGAUCCUAAAUGGAUUGAUGCAAUGAAAGGUGAGUUGUCUACUCUGGAGGAGAACAAGACUUGGAUUAUUACACCUCUGCCACUAGGUAAGAAAGCAAUAGGAUGUAAAUGUAUUUACAAAAUAAAGUACAAAGCGAAUGGAACAGUUGAAAGAUACAAGGCAAGACUAGUAGCUAAAGGGUAUAAUCAGAAGGAGGGUCUUGACUACCAGGAGACUUUUUCUCCUGUUGGCAAGAUGGUUACAGUGAGGGUGGUUAUAUCUAUUGCAGCAGUUCAAGACUGGUUCAUCGACCAGAUGGAUGUGCACAAUGCCUUCCUACAGGGAGACCUUUAUGAUAAAGCAUGCAUGCAGAUUCCUUAAGGUUUUGCUAGUAAGGGGGAGUCAGGCAUGGUAUGCAAGCUUGUUAAGUCCCUUUAUGGACUAAAACAAGAAUUAAUGCAGUGGAAUGUGAAACUUGUGGAGGCACUAGUACAAUCAAGAUUUGUACAAAGUCAACUAGAUCAUUCUCUGUUGACAAGGAAGAUUGGACAAAAUAUAGCAGUGGUUCUUGUCUAUUGAUCACAUACAAUGACAAAGACUUAGUCUUAGAGACAAAAGGCAUUCUACAGCAAGCAUUCAAGAUAAAAGAUUUAGGAGAAUUGAAGUUCUUCCUAGAAAUAGAGUUUGCAAGAUCCAACCAGGGAAUUCUUAUGAAUCAAAGGAAGUAUGCUUCACAACUUAUAUCAGAUUCAGGUUUAAGUGGAGUUAGACCAGCAUGGACUCCUCUAGAGUGCAAUCUAAAGUUAACUAUCAAAGAAUAUGACAAUCAUAUGGGAAAAAAGAAGAUGAACUCUUGGAAGAUGUUGCCUCAUAUCAAAGAUUGAUAGGCAAACUAUUAUACCUCAUCAUGAAAAGGCUAGAUAUAAGCUUUGCUGUACAAACCUUGAGUCAGUUCUUACAACAACCUAAGAAGUCUCACAUGGAGGCAACACUGAGAAUAGUGAGGUACAUUAAGAGAGAACUAGGAAUGGGUGUCUUAUUGUUAAGCAAACUAACAACUCAGCUCAAUGCCUACUGCGAUACUGAUUGGGCCUCAUGCCCAAACACCAGAUGAUCAGUGACAAGGUAUUUGAUAAAGUUUGGAGAGUCAUUGAUAUCCUGGAAGCCAAAGAAGCAAACAACAGUCUCCAAAGGUUCAGUAGAGGCUGAGUAUAGAGGGAUGGUUUUUGUAGUGUUAGAGGUUGUUUGGCUAAUCAGACUAUACUCAGAACUUGGUGUCCACUUGACUUUGCCUGUGACACUACUAUGUGAUAGCAAGGAAGCAAUUCAGAUUGCUGAGAAUCCAGUUUACCACGUGAGAACAAAGUAUAUAGAAAUCGAUUGCCACUUCAUAAGGGAGAAGGUUUAGAAUGGAAGUGUAGCACCAAGUCAUGUGCAAUCAAGAGAGUAACAGGCAUAUAUUCUAACAAAAGGACUUGGCAGACCACAACACGAGUACUUGGUUUCCAAGCUGGGAUUGUAUAACAUCUUUGCACCCUCUAGCUUAAGGGGGAGUAAUGAGACUAGUCAUGUGAGGCCAGGGUAGUUGAGUAUAAUUUACUUAAGUUAAUGGGUGUAUAUGUAGUAUUAGAAGUUAGUAACUACCUACAUGUGGGUCAACUGUUAAAUGUUAGUUAGUGGUGAGAUAUGUGUAUAUAUAUGCACUACAGUAUAGAACAAAGAUGUAAUUCAUUCUUCUCUUUGCUGAAUGAAAGAAGAAGUUGUUGAGCUCAAACUUCUCUCCUCAAUUUCAUCAUCAUCAUCAUCAUCAUAUAUAUAUAUAUAUAUAUAUAUAUAUAUGUUGUAUUUACCCUCCAAAAUAACGAAUACACUCAAAUUCGGCCAGAUAUGAGAAAUACAAGAAAUAAAAUAUACUCAAAUCUGAGAAAAUCCGGUCAGUUGGCCAUGGUUUCCGGCCAGAGAUGACGAUAGUAGUGGAGGUAAUGACGAAGCUAAUCUAGUACUCGAGUUUUUCGACGGGUUUAAUUAACGAAGGCAGUGAGUAAUUGGUCUUCAUUGGCAUAAGAAAAUACAGCGAUGGAAAGAAAUAAACCCAAGAAAAUUAGUGGGUGAUGUUGGAAUCAUGUUUUGUUAACCUCCCAAAAGACUGUAAAAUAAUUACCUUUAGUAGUGCUGAUGGAAAAAUUGGGAGGGGAAAGAGUAAAAGCAUCAAACAUGGUGCGCCAUGACAAGGAAGAGAGCUUGAGGGAAGAGGACAAUUUGGACAAAUACCUGAUGACCCAUCUCUCUUGAAGUCCAGAUCGGGAGAAAUAAGGGAGAAGAAGGAAAUACAGGGAAAAGAGAGAGGAUUGAGGGAUCACUAUUAUAUAUUUAUACUUU
rnacentral:lncRNA from 1 species